rnacentral:rRNA from 1 species
UACAGAGGGUGCGAGCGUUAAUCGGAAUUACUGGGCGUAAAGGGCGCGUAGGCGGUCGUAAACGUGUGAUGUGAAAGCCCUGGGCUUAACCUAGGAAGUGCAUCGCAAACGAUAUGACUGGAGUAUUGGAGAGGGUAGCGGAAUUUCCGGUGUAGCGGUGAAAUGCGUAGAGAUCGGAAGGAACGUCAAUGGCGAAGGCAGCUACCUGGCCAAAUACUGACGCUGAGGCGAGAGAGCGUGGGGAGCAAACAGG